rnacentral:rRNA from 1 species
CAGCGCCACAAGUGGCAAUCACGUUUAUUGGGUCUAAAGCGUCCGUAGCCGGUUUAGCAAAUCUUUUGUGAAAUCGUCAGGCUUAACUUGACGAAUUGCAGAAGACACUACUAAACUAGGGACUGGGAGGAGUCAGAAGUAUUCUGGGGGGACCGGUAAAAUGGUAUAAUCCCCAGAGGACUACCGAUGGCGAAGGCAUCUGACCAGAACAGAUCCGACGGUGAGGGACGAAAGCCAGGGGAGCAAACCGGAUUAGAUACCCGAGUAGUCC